UAAAGGAGACAUAACAUGAAAAACCCACUUUUUUAUCCAUUAACACAGUGUGUUUCACAUUUUAAGUGUCUAAGUGAGCAAAAAGGCUUAUAUUAUUCACUGGAGUUGCUAUUUAGAUAUUUAAUAAUUAAGUUUUGGGCAUAUUUGUCCACCCGUUCAGUUUUUACAUAAUCUAUUACAUCAGUAAUUAAUUUAGUGAGGAUAACUACCAAAUAUGGUAAUGGCCCUCGGCUAAACACAGAGCCAAUCCGCCAUUUUUUCUUCUCGCUAAGAUUUUUUGUAGUCCUAUUGGAAAAAUGCAGAAUGUCUGGUUAUUUUAGCCACACACAGCUCAAAACUGUUCCUCGUUUUAAGGAAGGGUGGUGUGGCAGUAUUUAAACCCAGGAGCUGAUGACACUACUGCUAAAAAAACACAGAAGAAAAAGUAGUGUGUUUGUGUUUGUGCUUGUGUGUGUGCGCGCGCGCGGUUCGUUCUUUCGUGUCUUCAGGCUAGUAAGUACUGAGGGCUUCAUCUAUCUAAAAGGAGUCAUUUUUAUCUGAAUGUGGCAGCACCGGGACACAGCAGCAGAGCGAAUAUGACGAUGACAUCAUGGAACUGGUCUUUGGAAAAGUUUUCCCUGAACCAACUCCGUUUCUAGAUGAGGUAGAGAAGAUCUGCAUCUCACCAACUCUCUGGUCUCAGUAUUCAGACAACGGAGGUCUCCCACUGUUAUCCAGGACCAGUUUGAAGCCCACAUACUGCCCCUCCCUCAUCAUCAGGAAACAUCAAUCCGUAUCCUGAGGACAACAGAAGACGGCAGGAGGACAGGAACUCUGAGACCUAGACACCACCAGCACCGAGACACAAAUUACCUGUGUGCACAACGCCUGUUUAACUACUAAAGCCUGUUUAACUACUAAAGCCUGUUUAUUAUAUUGUUCUACUUAUUUGCUGUGAGGUUAAUACUUAGAAAAUUUGUAUAUUAAUGUAAACAAUUUAAAAAAAUCACUGAUUGUAUGUUUUCUUUUAGAUGUAAUGGUCCAAACUCAGCCUUGUAGACAUUUAUUGCAUCCUGUAGGUAAAUACACAGAACAGGCUCAGGUCCAGGAUGACCCAGCAUGCUCUUCUUCCAUUCUGGCUGUUAGGGAUUUUAUCAAUAACUCAAUGCCUACUGAUGUUUUCACUUAACGGUAUUUAUUUAGAAUGCAGGUAAGAUUUAACUAUAUUUGUUAGCAAAGCAGACUGAUCUUGGGAAUUUCACUGCAGCACUGAUGUCCACCUCUCUGUACACAUUAGAGAGAAUUACCACUUUACAGCUAAACACAUUUAAUAAAGAUAUAGGCUACGCAUUGCAGACAAUAAAAACAAAGUUGUAAGCAUUAGAAUUAUAAUGAUCACAUUAAAGAACAUUUGGAGGAA